rnacentral:rRNA from 1 species
UACGAAGGGGGCUAGCGUUGCUCGGAAUCACUGGGCGUAAAGGGUGCGUAGGCGGGUCUUUAAGUCAGGGGUGAAAUCCUGGAGCUCAACUCCAGAACUGCCUUUGAUACUGAAGAUCUUGAGUCCGGGAGAGGUGAGUGGAACUGCGAGUGUAGAGGUGAAAUUCGUAGAUAUUCGCAAGAACACCAGUGGCGAAGGCGGCUCACUGGCCCGGUACUGACGCUGUGGCACGAAAGCGUGGGGAGCAAACAGG